UACAGAGGGGGCAAGCGUUAUUCGGAAUUAUUGGGCGUAAAGGGCGCGUAGGCGGCCUGGCAAGUGGAAGGUGAAAUCCCUCGGCUUAACCGAGGAACUGCCCUCCAAACUGCUUGGCUUGAGUCCGGGAGAGGUGAGUGGAAUUCCCAGUGUAGCGGUGAAAUGCGUAGAUAUUGGGAGGAACACCAGUGGCGAAGGCGGCUCACUGGACCGGUUCUGACGCUGAGGCGCGAAAGCGUGGGGAGCAAACAGG
rnacentral:rRNA from 1 species